rnacentral:tRNA from 2 species
UGGUAAUUAGUUUAAAAAAAAAAAUUAAUGAUUUCGACUCAUUAGAUUAUGAUAAUAUCAUAAUUACCAA